rnacentral:misc_RNA from 1 species
CAGAGUUGCAAAACUCCCACAAACCAUCGCGAAUCUUACCCGUACGGUUGCCUCGGCGCUGGCGGUCCGGAAGGCCCUCGGGCCCCCCGGAUCCUCGGGUCUCCCGCUCGCGGGAGGCUGCCCGCCGGAGUGCCGAAACCAAACUCUUGAUAUUUUAUGUCUCUCUGAGUAAACUUUUAAACUAAGUCA